CCGGGGUCUCCAGCCGCGAAGGGCGGGCCAUUUUGGGGGCGUCGCGGAUGGUCGCGAGUGACCGCCGGCCAAGAUCCCGGGAGCCGUCGGCCAGAGCAUCUUCUGGGCUCUGCUAGAAAACAGCCUCCUGCCUCCCGUUUACUCCAAGGGAAUCGCCGGCCAGGGCCCUUUCUGUCCUUCACCUACCUCUGCAGGAACCAGAAUGCUCUUUCGUCACUUUCUGCAGAAAAUAUCUCCGUUGUCCCCCGACGUCAGAGCCUCCUGCACCUCAGCUCGUCUCCCUUUUCCCUGACCCGAACCAGAACCCUGAUCUUGGAUUCUCUUUUAUCUUGUGGCCUCCGCAAUCAUUUUGCAGCCUGACAUCUUUUUCUAUGUAAUAUUUAUCACCUUCUAGUUAAUAACAUAAUUUUAAAAAUCAUUUUCAUCAUUUUGCCUCCCGUCCUACGAUAAGCUUCACCAGAGCAAGGAUCUCUUGUUCUGUGCCUUGCUUCACCCCAAACGCCUACAACAGGGACUGGUACAUACUACAUGCUUAAUAAAUAUUUGUUGACUGAAUGAAUGGAAACCGGGGACGCAAAUUUACCAAAAUAGGAAUGACCUUCGUUCUAAACUGAAAGGGACUCAGUUGUAAAUUUACCUCAGAGUUAGCCUCUCAAAAAGUAGGGAUGCUGAUCCCAGUUCCUAGAAAAGAGUAAAAACUAGGGGCUCUGCAAACUGCAGGACCGCUCAUACCAGCUGCAGUUAAAACAACAUUAAAGCUGGCAUCCUAGCUGUUAACCGUUGAGAUAUGUAAAAAAGAGAUUGACUUCGUUUACGUUGCUGGGCUCCGGAUUUUGUUCUCAUUUAGUUACAACAAAUAUUUACCCUGUAUCUAUUGGAGUAGAAGAGGAAUCUUCGAUGCAGCACA
rnacentral:lncRNA from 1 species